rnacentral:misc_RNA from 1 species
GAUGAAGAACGCAGCGAAAUGCGAUAAGUAGUGUGAAUUGCAGAAUUCAGUGAAUCAUCGAAUCUUUGAACGCACAUUGCGCCCCCUGGUAUUCCGGGGGGCAUGCCUGUUCGAGCGUCAUUUCAACCCUCAAGCUCUGCUUGGUAUUGAGUCCAUGUCAGCAAUGGCAGGCUCCAAAAUCAGUGGCGGCGCCGCUGGGUCCUGAACGUAGUAAUAUCUCUCGUUACAGGUGCUCGGCGUGCUUCUGCCAAAACCCCAAUUUUUCUAUGGUUGACCUCGGAUCAGGUAGGGAUACCCGCUGAACUUAAGCAUAUCAAUAAGCGGAGGA